AAUGAACGUUGGCGGCGUGGAUUAGGCAUGCAAGUCGUGCGAGAACCGUAGCAAUACGGGGACAGCGGCGAAAGGGAGAGGAAUACGUGGAUACCUACCCUCAGGUUCAGGAUAGCCAUGGGAAACUAUGGGUAAUACUGAAUAAUAUCUCCGGAUCAAAGGUGUGAUUCCACCUGAGGAGGGGUCCGCGUCCUAUUAGCUAGUUGGUGAGGUAACGGCUAACCUAGGCGAAGAUGGGUAUGGGAUGUGAGAGCAUGAUCCCACUCACUGGGACUGAGACACUGCCCAGACACCUACGGGUGGCUGCAGUCGAGAAUCUUCGGCAAUGGGGGCAACCCUGACCGAGCGACGCCGCGUGCGAGAUGAAGGCCUUCGGGUUGUAAAUCGCUGUCAGAGGGGAGGAAAUGCUAGUGGGUUCUCCCACUAGUUUGACCUAGCCUCAGAGGAAGGACGGGCUAAGUUCGUGCCAGCCGCCGCGGUAAUAC
rnacentral:rRNA from 1 species